rnacentral:rRNA from 1 species
GGUGAGUAAUGCCUAGGAAAUUGCCCUGAUGUGGGGGAUAACCAUUGGAAACGAUGGCUAAUACCGCAUAAUCUCUUCGGAGCAAAGAGGGGGACCUUCGGGCCUCUCGCGUCAGGAUAUGCCUAGGUGGGAUUAGCUAGUUGGUGAGGUAAUGGCUCACCAAGGCGACGAUCCCUAGCUGGUCUGAGAGGAUGAUCAGCCACACUGGAACUGAGACACGGUCCAGACUCCUACGGGAGGCAGCAGUGGGGAAUAUUGCACAAUGGGCGCAAGCCUGAUGCAGCCAUGCCGCGUGUAUGAAGAAGGCCUUCGGGUUGUAAAGNACUUUCAGUCGUGAGGAAGGCAUUAACGUUAAUAGCGUUGGUGUUUGACGUUAGCGACAGAAGAAGCACCGGCUAACUCCGUGCCAGCAGCCGCGGUAAUACGGAGGGUGCGAGCGUUAAUCGGAAUUACUGGGCGUAAAGCGCAUGCAGGUGGNUCGUUNAANUCAGAUGUGAAAGNCCGGGGCUCAACCUCGGAAUUGCAUUUGAAACUGGCGNACUANAGUACUGUANANGGGGGUA